AUCCCCGUAGCGCAAUGGAUAGUGCGUUGAACUUCUAAUCCAAAGAUCGUGGGUUCGAAUUCCACCUGGGAUG
rnacentral:tRNA from 1 species